rnacentral:rRNA from 1 species
GAUGAACGCUAGCGGGAGGCUUAACACAUGCAAGUCGAGGGGCAUCACGGGUAGCAAUACCUGGUGGCGACCGGCAGACGGGUGAGUAACGCGUAUGUAACCUACCCUGUACAGGGGGAUAACCCGGAGAAAUUCGGACUAAUAUCCCAUAAUGAUAUCUGGGGGCAUCUUCGGAUAUUUAAAGUUCCGGCGGUACAGGAUGGGCAUGCGUAACAUUAGCUAGUUGGUAAGGUAACGGCUUACCAAGGCUUUGAUGUUUAGGGGUCCUGAGAGGGUGGUCCCCCACACUGGUACUGAGACACGGACCAGACUCCUACGGGAGGCAGCAGUGAGGAAUAUUGGUCAAUGGGCGCAAGCCUGAACCAGCCAUCCCGCGUGCAGGAAGACGGCCCUAUGGGUUGUAAACUGCUUUUCCUAGGGAGAGAAACUUGCGUACGCGUUGCGCAAUUGACGGUAUCCUGGGAAUAAGCAUCGGCUAACUCCGUG